GGAAGAUGAAGCUGGCUUUAUAACCAACCACAUUGUCUGAGGGCUGUGGGGUAUGGGUGACCAGCCAUGUGGCCAGGCAGAGUGGACCCUGGCAGUCAGAGAAAGCUCUCAGUCAACGGAGUGCAGGAGCUGGCACUUGAGAGCGGCAGGUGUGCCCUGAAAUGGUAAGGGGCAGGAGGCCUGGGCAGGGCACCAACACCAUCUGCUACAACAUUCUUCUACAAACAUUUUGAAUGAAAUUUGAACCAAAUGUUUGCAGCAACUGUGGCCCAGCCUUGUGAAUGCCAGGCUUCCACAGAGCCCAGUCUGGAGGCCAUUGGAGUUUGUGGGAACAGUGAACGAGGCCUUCUAGAGUCUAGCUCCUAUAAGCUACUUCUGGUUCCCUUCCUUCCUUCAUCAUGGUCAAGUUUUCACCCCGUGAUACAAGUGAUCUGUGCUGGUAAGGGGACACCCUGCAGAGCGCCCUUCCCUGACUUUCCUCAUGACGCCCUCUGGGUCUGGGAGCGCCCUUUCCCUUCCUCCCACCUGCCUGACGCUACUUGUUCUCCAGACUCAGACGGUAAAGCGAAUGCUGUGUGGAACUGCUUCAUCUUCAGCAAGACUCAUAAAAAGGACCUUUUGACAGGUAGGUGUUACCAGCUGCCCAGAUGAGGAAACUGCGCUGAGAGAGGUGAGCUCCUUGCACGGGCUGUAAGUGGCAGAGCUGGGACUGCAAUCCUGCUCUGGCCUGCAGCUCGAGCCUCCACCGCUGCUCUUCCCGCCGCCCUUGUACAUAUAAGCUGCCCAUGAAGACUGACAUCGAGGCCAAAUUAGCCUGGACACAGAGGCAACACCAGGCCCAGGAGGGCCAAAGGCUUACAUUGCUGACUGCAAAGAUGACGUGAAGAGAAUUCCAUUUGGAGAGCAAGGACUGCUAUGUCCACUGAAUGUCUACUUUUUGCCGCUAGGUACAAGAAUGGAGACGUUAACAAAACUGGUCCUAUAUCAAAACACACAAACAUGUGACUAUUGCAUCUGUCACACUGGGCAAAUGAUUAUUUUGCCUCUUAAGCUUGCGUUUACUAUCAACACGUAGUCAAUCUCCUUAUGAUUAUUAACCUACAAUGAACGCCUCUGUCUAAACUGCUCACGUGAGUUCUUUCCUACCAUACUGAGGCAUUCACGAAUAACACCAUAAUGACUCUACAAGAAUUCAAACAUUUUGUUCCUUUAAAGGUUCAUUUACAAGUUUUCUCAGUGAACUAUAGGGUCAGUUUUCUGCUGCAAACUUUUACACAUUUAUGCACCUCUCUCCUCCCAUCUUGCCAGGAAGAGCAGCCUCAUGCUAAAAUCAAGCUCAAAACUACAGAUUUGUCCUUAGGUAAGAUCCACACUCCACUCUCAGGAAACAAUUCUAGAGGGGGAGAGUCAGAGUAGCAGAACUAACCAUGUGGAGCACCUGAUCCCGUUUCUUCCUUAAAAAUGGAAUUACUGAGCCUCUGAGAAGCUAAACGGCUUACUUGUGGUCAAAAAGAAAUAACCUGCAAAUCCAAGGUUUAAACCCAGGCCGUCUUUUUUGGCCCGCUAUGUACAGCUCAUGCCAAGUUCAAUCCUAUGGUCAGAGAAGCCCCUGGUGUGAGUUUUGACACAUCACUAUGCAUCAUUAAUGCUUGGAAAAGGCAGAUUGUUGGUGAAAGCUGGUUGAGAAAAACAUGCGAGGGGACCCCCAGCUUCUGGUCUAACUGCAGUUACCUUCCCAUCAGACCUCUCCUGUCCUGCCCCUUCCCGACUUUCCUGGACUAAAUUACUCAGUGAUGCCGACAUCACUCUUGUCUGAGCAGCAGCAACUAGGGCAGCACCUACAGGGGCACAUGCAUCACCCAGGCGGAGAUGGAGACCACCCAGGGCUAUUUGGUCAGUGCAUUUACAAGGAUGCACAGAGGCUAGAGAGAAGUGAAAGAGAACUGGACCAAAGCACCCAAGAACGUAGAAGCUGGAGAAAAAUGGUGACUUAACCGACUUGAUCAAGAUCACACAGCUGCUUGGUGCCCGAGUCGGGAUCUGAACACCGGCCUUAAGAUGAGUCUGGCAGCUUCACACAAUGCUGCUCUCCCAACAGAGCCUAGUUUGGGAGGUGCUUCCAGAGGGGUAAAGGGUGGCACAGAAGUACAAAGGGCAAGGACAAAGGAGGAUGCACGUAAUCAGUGGAAAUGUUUACAGAGAACCUGUUCCCUGUGUGUUGGACACUUGUUAUGAACUAAACGGUGUCCCUCCCAAAUUCAUAUGUUGAAGCCUUAAUCCUCAAUGUGACUCUGUUUGGAAAUAGGGCCUUUAAGGAGGUGGCUAAAGUUAAAUGAGGUCAUCAGAGUGGAGACUCUAAUCCAAUAGGACUGGGUUCCUUACAAGAAGAAAAAGACACAAGUGAAGCCCAUGUUCACAAAGGAAGGGCCACAUGAGGGCACAACAAGAAGGUGGCCAUCUUUAAGCCAACAAGAGAGUCGUCAGGAGAAACCAAACCUACUGGCACCUUGAUCUGGGACUUCAAACCUCCAGAACUGUGAGAAAACAAAUUUCUGUUGUUUAAGCCACCUAGUCUGUGGCAGUUUGUUAUGGCAGCCUGAGAAACAAACACAACAAAGAUGACAACAGUGAGGGGCUCCUGAGGGCAAGUUCUGUCUCAGUCUCCUUCUUCUCCAGGUGUGCCAGAGCCCAGGGAGGAGAUGGGGGAACAGGCGCAGGCAGCUGAACCGGAACCAGGUAUUUGCAAGUUAAUCAGGUUCAGGCUGAAACAGACAAGUAAAAGGACAUAAAUAAUGAUGAAACUUGUAGAAAGUCAUCAAAAAUUUAUCUUUUUUUUAUUGCCGAUCUGUUUGUACAUCCUUUAAUUGUCUUGUUUCUUUAGUGUUUUUAUAAGAACAAAUAUUUAUCUCAGAAACUCAUUUCUUGAAAACUUAGAACAAAUCCAGACGAUUUGGGGCUUCAGAUUGUUGAUGUCUGGAAAAUAAUAGUUUAUGUCAAGAAAAGUCUAAAUUCCGUUAAAAGAAUCUGUGGAGGGAUGUCGGCAAAAAUGACAGAGUGAAAGACAUCUGGAAAAAUCUAUUCCAUAAAAGUGAGGACACUGGCAAAAAUGGUCAGAAUCAACUUUCUUCAGAACUCUGAAAAUUAAUCAGAGGCUUGUGGCAAUCUGAGAAGAGUUUAUUCAAGAACAAAGGCUCAGUCUCAGAGCAGAAAGCUUUGCGAUAUUUUUAACUUGCUUUAUCUCCGCCCCCGACUCAGCAGUAGCCUUGACAAUCAACAGCCCACAAGCACAGUGAAAACCAGCAGCCUGGCAGCCACCGGAGGGGGCAGAAUGGGGAUGAAGCCCCUUCAAAGCCUUAUUCCCAGGGAAUUAUCUUUAUUUGGCCCAUCUGAUGGUGCUUGGAAGACCCCACUUGCAAAACCGUCUUUGUAUAACUGGACGUACAGCUUACCCACUGCCAAGAGCCAUUUCCCAGAAGCACUGGUUGAAAAUAUUGUAGCAGCCUACGGUGGCAAAUAACAGUUGGGUCAAACAUCAGGCUAGCCAAAAAGCUUAAAGGAAAAAUCUGGGGAAUGAGAUGUCUGCAGAGAACUUUGAAAAGCUUCAGCAUAUUCCUGGGAAUCUAGGGGGCUACAUGCAUGCCCCGGGCUGUCCACAUGUUCAGGAAAAACCUAAGAAGGCCAAAGCUGACCUUGAGGCUCUGCACAAGCAGGAAGUGGAAACUAAGACAUAGUUAGAAAGUGCUGAUCUAAAUGUUGAAGGAUUUCCGCAGAUACUCACACAGAGCUCCUCAGCAAAAUCUGAGACUUACUGGUCCUAACAUUUGAUAAAGUUUCUGUCUGAUCAUUAACUGAACAUGAAGCUAAAUGAGCAGAGACUUCAGUAGCCACACAAGACAAAGUAUACAGAAUUAAACUACAGGAUUAGUUCAGAAAAGUCAGUAAGCAAACCAGCAGCAACAAAUGCUGGGAGGGGAGAGAAUGAUUUCCAGAGUUACUGCAUAUUUUUUAAUGUCCAAUUUUCAACAAUAACAAAAAUUAUGAAACACACAAAGAAACAAGAAUGUAUGGCCAUACUCAGUGGGAAAAAGCAGUCAAUAGAGACUGUCCCUGAGGAAGCCCAGACACUGGGCUUACUAAACAAAGAGUUUAAUUAGCUAUUUUAAGUGUGUUCAAAGAACUCAAGAGAAUCACGUCUAAAGAACUAGAGAAAAGUAUGAGAAGGAUGUCUCAUCAAAUAAAGAGAUAGAAAAUAGUUUAAAAGAACCAAAUAGAAACUCUGGAGUUAAAAAGUACAAUGCUGAAGUGGAAAAAAUUCACUGGAGGGGUUCAAUAGCAUAUGUGAGCUGGCAGAAGAAGCAAUCAAUGAAUUUUAAGAUGGGUCAAUUGAGAUUAUCCAAAUUUGAGGAAAAG